rnacentral:rRNA from 1 species
UACGGGGGGGGCAAGCGUUGUUCGGAAUUACUGGGCGUAAAGGGCUCGUAGGCGGCCAACUAAGUCGGAUGUGAAAUCCCCAGGCUUAACCUGGGAACUGCAUCCGAUACUGGAUGGCUUGAAUCCGGGAGAGGGAUGCAGAAUUCCAGGUGUAGCGGUGAAAUGCGUAGAUAUCUGGAGGAACACCGGUGGCGAAGGCGGCAUCCUGGACCGAGAUUGACGCUGAUGCGCGAAAGCCAGGGGAGCAAACGGG